UGGUUUGGGUUUUCUAUUCCGUUCUCUGUUUAAACCCAGUUCGGGUGUAGCGAGAUAUGUCAUAGCGGGAGCUCUUUCAUAUCAGUCGGAUUGACCCAGUUGAGGGGAAGUGCCUAUCGGCUUAUGUCCAGCGUGGAGCCGUGGAGUAGGUCAAUAUUUGGCAGGACGUAU